GUUUUCCUGCUGGUGUCUCUUGUCUUCAUUGGUUCAUUGCUCUAUCUGCUUUUUAUUCCAGUUCUGUUUGUUCCUUUAUUUCUGCUUUUUUGUUUGUUUGUUUCUCUCAUCUGUAACUGUCCUCGUGAUCAAACUACAGACUGUCAAUACACUCCUAAUUUUAUUGGUGACAUGUGAGUGUGAGCAGCUCCCCUCAUCUUCAUCUCUGCUCUUCUCCAUAAAAUGCAUCUCAAUCUCAUCAUCUGCAGAGAAACUGCUGCUCGAUCACCAGAAUGAUGGCCUGAAUGCUUCAGAGAGGAUUGUGAAGAGAUUCCACUGGAACUUGUUCUUAAUCACAUCUGUGUUCUGAUUCCUUUGUGUUUUACUUCAUGCAUUUAUUAAUCUUCAGUGUCAGUUGUCAUUUAUUAAUACAUUCAGGUGAUAACUGUUCAAAGCAGUGAUAUUUGUGCUACAAUUUCACAUGCCAAUAAAAAGCAAAUUAUAUGGACACUUCAUGUUUAAUGGAAUUAAAUGAUUAGUUAAUUGCAUUUUAAUAGAUUACACUUUCAAUAACACAUUUGGAUUUGUUUGUAAAAGCUGUGUUUAUGCAUGGUUUUAAUACAGCGUGUGGUGUUUCCAGCGAUUCACUGAAUCAUUCUGUGAAGCAAUUGAUUCAGAGUUUGUAAAUGAUUAAUUUCUCCAUCGCUAGCAAAGCUGGGUUUCUGAUAUAUUUGAGCUUUAUCAUUGCGAAAAGCAAGCACGUUUAAUUUCCACUGGUUACAACAGAUUAAAGAUGAGACCCACUUUAUAAUAAUGUUAAAUUGAAUGCACUUUAAAUGCAUAAAAAAACCCAAUAAAUAAUUCUAAACAAGUCUC
ensembl:lncRNA